rnacentral:tRNA from 1 species
CAGGCGCUGGUCGAGGAAUUGCGCUACCGCCGUUUGCGCCCGCGCGGCCCGCCGAAGGACUGGCUUGCGGCGCUGGUGCGGGCCAGUGAGGCCUGG